AUAUUGGACAAUGGGCGAAAGCCUGAUCCAGCCAUGCCGCGUGUGUGAAGAAGGUCUUCGGAUUGUAAAGCACUUUUAGUUGGGAGGAAUGGCAUUAAGCUAAUACAUUUCUGUUUUGACGUUACCGACAGAAUAAGCACCGGCUAACUUCGUGCCAGCAGCCGCGGUAGUACGAAGAGUGCAAGCGUUGAGCGGAAUUACUGGGCGUAACGCGGGAGUAGAUGGGUUGUUAAGUUGGGAGUGAAAGCCCCGGGCUAAACAUGGGAACUGCUUUCAAAACUGGCAAGCUAGAGUAUGGCAGAGGGUGGUGGAAUUUCCUGUGUAGCGGUGAAAUGCGUGGAUAUAGGAAGGAACACAAGUGGCGAAGGCGACCACCUGGGCUAAUACUGACACUAAGGUGCGAAAGCGUGGGGAGCAAAC
rnacentral:rRNA from 1 species